rnacentral:rRNA from 1 species
GACGUAGGGCGCGAGCGUUGUCCGGAUUUAUUGGGCGUAAAGAGCUCGUAGGCGGCUUGUCGCGUCGUCCGUGAAAACCUGCGGCUCAACUGCAGGCUGGCGGUCGAUACGGGCAGGCUGGAGUUCGGUAGGGGAGACUGGAAUUCCUGGUGUAGCGGUGAAAUGCGCAGAUAUCAGGAGGAACACCGGUGGCGAAGGCGGGUCUCUGGGCCGAUAACUGACGGCUGGAGGAGCGAAAGCGUGGGGAGCGAACAGG